rnacentral:rRNA from 1 species
UGGGGAAUAUUGCACAAUGGGCGAAAGCCUGAUGCAGCAACGCCGCGUGAGUGAAGAAGGUUUUCGGAUUGUAAAGCUCUGUCAUCUGGGACGAUAAUGACGGUACCAGAUGAGGAAGCCACGGCUAACUACGUGCCAGCAGCCGCGGUAAUACGUAGGUGGCAAGCGUUGUCCGGAAUUACUGGGCGUAAAGGGUGCGCAGGCGGACAUUUAAGUGAGAUGUGAAAGACCCGGGCUUAACUUGGGCAGUGCAUUUCAAACUGGAUGUCUGGAGUGCAGGAGAGGAGAACGGAAUUCCUAGUGUAGCGGUGAAAUGCGUAGAGAUUAGGAAGAACACCAGUGGCGAAGGCGGUUCUCUGGACUGUAACUGACGCUGAGGCACGAAAGCGUGGGUAGCAAACAGG